rnacentral:rRNA from 1 species
GACUCUAGGCAACGGAUAUCUCGACUUUCGCAUUGAUGAAGAACAUUGCGAAAUGUGAUACUUGGUGUGAAUUGCAGAAUCCCGUGAACCAUCGAGUCUUUGAAUGCAAGGUGUGCCGGAAGACAUUUGGAUGAGAGCACGUCUACCUAGGCAUCA